CGCGGGGUAGAGCAGCUUGGUAGCUCGUCGGGCUCAUAACCCGGAGGUCGUUGGUUCAAAUCCUUCCCCCGCAACCA
rnacentral:tRNA from 1 species